rnacentral:rRNA from 1 species
GCGUGAGCGAUGAAGGCCUUAGGGUUGUAAAGCUCUUUCGCUGGGGAAGAUAAUGACGGUACCCAGUAAAGAAGCCCCGGCUAACUCCGUGCCAGCAGCCGCGGUAAUACGGAGGGGGCUAGCGUUGUUCGGAAUUACUGGGCGUAAAGCGCACGUAGGCGGGCAGAAAAGUUGAGGGUGAAAUCCCAGGGCUCAACCCUGGAACUGCCUCCAAAACUAUCUGCCUAGAGUUCGAGAGAGGUGAGUGGAAUUCCGAGUGUAGAGGUGAAAUUCGU